rnacentral:rRNA from 1 species
UAAGCGACUAAGCGUACACGGUGGAUGCCCUGGCAGUCAGAGGCGAUGAAGGACGUGCUAAUCUGCGAUAAGCGUCGGUAAGGUGAUAUGAACCGUUAUAACCGGCGAUUUCCGAAUGGGGAAACCCAGUGUGAUUCGUCACACUAUCAUUAACUGAAUCCAUAGGUUAAUGAGGCGAACCGGGGGAACUGAAACAUCUAAGUACCCCGAGGAAAAGAAAUCAACCGAGAUUCCCCCAGUAGCGGCGAGCGAACGGGGAGCAGCCCAGAGCCUGAAUCAGUGUGUGUGUUAGUGGAAGCGUCUGGAAAGGCGCGCGAUACAGGGUGACAGCCCCGUACACAAAAAUGCACAUGCUGUGAGCUCGAUGAGUAGGGCGGGACACGUGGUAUCCUGUCUGAAUAUGGGGGGACCAUCCUCCAAGGCUAAAUACUCCUGACUGACCGAUAGUGAACCAGUACCGUGAGGGAAAGGCGAAAAGAACCCCGGCGAGGGGAGUGAAAAAGAACCUGAAACCGUGUACGUACAAGCAGUGGGAGCACGCUUAGGCGUGUGACUGCGUACCUUUUGUAUAAUGGGUCAGCGACUUAUAUUCUGUAGCAAGGUUAACCGAAUAGGGGAGCCGAAGGGAAACCGAGUCUUAACUGGGCGUUAAGUUGCAGGGUAUAGACCCGAAACCCGGUGAUCUAGCCAUGGGCAGGUUGAAGGUUGGGUAACACUAACUGGAGGACCGAACCGACUAAUGUUGAAAAAUUAGCGGAUGACUUGUGGCUGGGGGUGAAAGGCCAAUCAAACCGGGAGAUAGCUGGUUCUCCCCGAAAGCUAUUUAGGUAGCGCCUCGUGAAUUCAUCUCCGGGGGUAGAGCACUGUUUCGGCAAGGGGGUCAUCCCGACUUACCAACCCGAUGCAAACUGCGAAUACCGGAGAAUGUUAUCACGGGAGACACACGGCGGGUGCUAACGUCCGUCGUGAAGAGGGAAACAACCCAGACCGCCAGCUAAGGUCCCAAAGUCAUGGUUAAGUGGGAAACGAUGUGGGAAGGCCCAGACAGCCAGGAUGUUGGCUUAGAAGCAGCCAUCAUUUAAAGAAAGCGUAAUAGCUCACUGGUCGAGUCGGCCUGCGCGGAAGAUGUAACGGGGCUAAACCAUGCACCGAAGCUGCGGCAGCGACGCUGAUGCGUUGUUGGGUAGGGGAGCGUUCUGUAAGCCUGCGAAGGUGUGCUGUGAGGCAUGCUGGAGGUAUCAGAAGUGCGAAUGCUGACAUAAGUAACGAUAAAGCGGGUGAAAAGCCCGCUCGCCGGAAGACCAAGGGUUCCUGUCCAACGUUAAUCGGGGCAGGGUGAGUCGACCCCUAAGGCGAGGCCGAAAGGCGUAGUCGAUGGGAAACAGGUUAAUAUUCCUGUACUUGGUGUUACUGCGAAGGGGGGACGGAGAAGGCUAUGUUGGCCGGGCGACGGUUGUCCCGGUUUAAGCGUGUAGGCUGGUUUUCCAGGCAAAUCCGGAAAAUCAAGGCUGAGGCGUGAUGACGAGGCACUACGGUGCUGAAGCAACAAAUGCCCUGCUUCCAGGAAAAGCCUCUAAGCAUCAGGUAACAUCAAAUCGUACCCCAAACCGACACAGGUGGUCAGGUAGAGAAUACCAAGGCGCUUGAGAGAACUCGGGUGAAGGAACUAGGCAAAAUGGUGCCGUAACUUCGGGAGAAGGCACGCUGAUAUGUAGGUGAAGUCCCUCGCGGAUGGAGCUGAAAUCAGUCGAAGAUACCAGCUGGCUGCAACUGUUUAUUAAAAACACAGCACUGUGCAAACACGAAAGUGGACGUAUACGGUGUGACGCCUGCCCGGUGCCGGAAGGUUAAUUGAUGGGGUCAGCGCAAGCGAAGCUCUUGAUCGAAGCCCCGGUAAACGGCGGCCGUAACUAUAACGGUCCUAAGGUAGCGAAAUUCCUUGUCGGGUAAGUUCCGACCUGCACGAAUGGCGUAAUGAUGGCCAGGCUGUCUCCACCCGAGACUCAGUGAAAUUGAACUCGCUGUGAAGAUGCAGUGUACCCGCGGCAAGACGGAAAGACCCCGUGAACCUUUACUAUAGCUUGACACUGAACAUUGAGCCUUGAUGUGUAGGAUAGGUGGGAGGCUUUGAAGUGUGGACGCCAGUCUGCAUGGAGCCGACCUUGAAAUACCACCCUUUAAUGUUUGAUGUUCUAACGUUGACCCGUAAUCCGGGUUGCGGACAGUGUCUGGUGGGUAGUUUGACUGGGGCGGUCUCCUCCUAAAGAGUAACGGAGGAGCACGAAGGUUGGCUAAUCCUGGUCGGACAUCAGGAGGUUAGUGCAAUGGCAUAAGCCAGCUUGACUGCGAGCGUGACGGCGCGAGCAGGUGCGAAAGCAGGUCAUAGUGAUCCGGUGGUUCUGAAUGGAAGGGCCAUCGCUCAACGGAUAAAAGGUACUCCGGGGAUAACAGGCUGAUACCGCCCAAGAGUUCAUAUCGACGGCGGUGUUUGGCACCUCGAUGUCGGCUCAUCACAUCCUGGGGCUGAAGUAGGUCCCAAGGGUAUGGCUGUUCGCCAUUUAAAGUGGUACGCGAGCUGGGUUUAGAACGUCGUGAGACAGUUCGGUCCCUAUCUGCCGUGGGCGCUGGAGAACUGAGGGGGGCUGCUCCUAGUACGAGAGGACCGGAGUGGACGCAUCACUGGUGUUCGGGUUGUCAUGCCAAUGGCACUGCCCGGUAGCUAAAUGCGGAAGAGAUAAGUGCUGAAAGCAUCUAAGCACGAAACUUGCCCCGAGAUGAGUUCUCCCUGACUCCUUGAGAGUCCUGAAGGAACGUUGAAGACGACGACGUUGAUAGGCCGGGUGUGUAAGCGCAGCGAUGCGUUGAGCUAACCGGUACUAAUGAACCGUGAGGCUUAACCU